GACGAACGCUGGCGGCGUGCUUAACACAUGCAAGUCGAACGGAAAGGCCUCUUUCGGGGGGUACUCGAGUGGCGAACGGGUGAGUAACACGUGAGUAACCUGCCCUUGACUUUGGGAUAACUUCAGGAAACUGGGGCUAAUACCGGAUAGGAGCUCCUGCUGCAUGGUGGGGGUUGGAAAAUUUCGGCGGUUGGGGAUGGACUCGCGGCUUAUCAGCUUGUUGGUGGGGUAGUGGCUUACCAAGGCUUUGACGGGUAGCCGGCCUGAGAGGGUGACCGGCCACAUUGGGACUGAGAUACGGCCCAGACUCCUACGGGAGGCAGCAGUGGGGAAUAUUGCACAAUGGGUGGAAGCCUGAUGCAGCAACGCCGUGUGCGGGAUGACGGCCUUCGGGUUGUAAACCGCUUUCGCUCAUGACGAAGCUUUGUGUGACGGUAGUGGGUAAAGAAGCACCGGCUAACUACGUG
rnacentral:rRNA from 1 species